rnacentral:rRNA from 1 species
UACGUAGGGUGCAAGCGUUGUCCGGAAUUAUUGGGCGUAAAGAGCUCGUAGGCGGUCUGUCACGUCGGCUGUGAAAACUCGGGGCUCAACCCCGAGCCUGCAGUCGAUACGGGCAGACUAGAGUCCGGCAGGGGAGACUGGAAUUCCUGGUGUAGCGGUGAAAUGCGCAGAUAUCAGGAGGAACACCGAUGGCGAAGGCAGUUCUCUGGGCCGUAACUGACGCUGAGGAGCGAAAGCGUGGGGAGCGAACAGG